rnacentral:rRNA from 1 species
UGAUGGGAAAACGUCUAAGUUGCAUUAAUAUUAGUGUGACGUAAACGGUAAUCGUGCAGGAGAGUAAGAUGCCAUCCUAUCAGUUAGUAAGUAGGGUAAGGGCCUACUUAGACGAAGACGGGUACGGGGAAUGAGGGUUUGAUUCCGGAGAGGGAGCCUGAGAGAUGGCUACCAGGACCAAGGUCAGCAGCAGGCGCGAAAAUUAUCGAAGCCCGCCUAGGGGCGAUAGUGAGGAGACGUGUAUAACGAAGUACGUGUAAAGAACGUACUAAUAACUGGAGGUCAAGUCUGGUGCCAGCAUCCGCGGUAAUUCCAGCUCCAGGGGUGUCUAUGAUGAUUGCUGCGAUUAAAAAGUCCGUAGUCAAGCUGACUGACUGACCUGCAAUGUGAUUGAUCAAAGAACGAGCAGGGYUAGGAAAGCAGAGAAUUAGGAGCGACCGAGGGCUAGAGUAUUGAAUGGCGAGAGGUGAAAUUUGAUGACCCAUUCAGGAGUGACAAAGGCGAAGGCACUAGUCAAGGGCGAAUCCGAUGAUCAAGGACGUAGGCUAGAGUUUCGAAAACGAUUAGAGACCGGAGUAGUUCUAGCAGUAAACUAUGCCGACGCCGUGGUAUGGUUUUUUGUGGCUGUAUUGCGGAAGAGAAAUCAAGUAAGGCUUUGGGGAGAGUACGCGCGCAAGCGAUAAAUUUAAAGGAAAUUGACGGAGGAACACCACAAGGAGUGGAGUGUGCGGCUUAAUUUGACUCAACGCGGGACAGCUUACCAGGCCCGAUAAUCGAGCGAGCGUUGUACGCGAUAGAUUAAAGAGUGGUGCAUGGCUGCUAUCGACAGUUGGGGUGACCUUAGGGUUAAUUCCGGCAAGUAGUGAGACCCCUGCAGAUAGUGGACAGGUAUUUUUAAAAUACAGGAAGGAAGGGACAAGAGCAGGUCAGUGAUGCCCUUAGAUGGCCUGGGCUGCACGCGCACUACAGUGGUCAUUAUAAGUAGAAGUUAGAAGUAAAGAUGAUCGAGAGGGACUGAGCUUUGUAAGAGGCUCACGAACGAGGAAUUGCUAGUAAUCUUAGGCUCAUUAAGAUACGAUGAAUAUGUCCCUGUAUGGUGUGCACCCGCCCGUCGUUAUCGAAGAUGGAAUUGUGUGCGAACGAGCAACAAGCGAGUAGCGCAAGUCU